CUUUGUGCUUUUGUGUGUGCGGAAUGUUUUUGUGAGCCAUGAAGCAUGCAGUCUACUUCCGUUUUUACGGAAUGCUUCUGUAAAUGUAAUGCAUUCCAACCAUAUGAGCGAUUAUAUAUACUGUGUAUAUGUAAGUAAAAUGCAUAGGAAAAGGUUUUUUUACGAAGUAACCACUCAUUUGAUUUUGUUUUUCGAACAAACGUUUCCACUUAAAAGUCCACUUUUACCGCUAAUUACUC